rnacentral:lncRNA from 1 species
GGUGAACAUUUGCGGAGCAUUGGUUCUGGGAGACAUGGUGCUGUGUGGGCAAACUUUGCCCUAAUGAAUCUGGACGUGCCAAGCAGAGCCCAGCACCAACCCUGCCUUGUGUGUGUCAUUAACCAUCCCACUUGGACUUGGUGCUGGGAGAAGCCAGACGACAACAGGAGGAACUUCAGAGGAAUUCUUCUCGAGGCUGCCAGGUGAGCACUGCAGAGCUCAGUGCUGUGCCAGGUGCUCCCGAGGGGAGACUGUGCUACGCAGGGAGAGCCAGGCUGGUGAGUGCUGAGCACCUGACAUCUCCUGCAAAAGUGCCAAGCAGAAGUGAGAUUUCACUCUUGACAGGUGCUGAAGUGUCUGACUGUCACCUUGUUUUCAAGAUUCCGGGGAGCCGAGCUGGUUUCACAGAGCCUGCCUGAAGGUUCAGGUGCAAAUUUCUGCAGACAUUCGUGUGACGCAGCAACAAAAGCAUCCCUUUUAAAGUCACUCUGUGGAGGCAGGGCGUAAAAAUGCAGAAUUCUGAAGCUGAUAAUACGUUCAUCAAUGCACAGCUCGAGAAGGUUGUCCAGAUGUAUUCUCGUGCAUGAACUCUGGGAUUUAACCUCAACAGGGAAAACAGAACUUCGUGUAUUCAUGCCAUCCAUUACAAUUUCCUUCCAUUACCUGGACAGCCCCAUCUGUCUGUGGAAAGGACUCUUAUAUGCAAAUACAAGUCUUCAGCUGUAAGGAGAGCUGGUUGCUUGAGCACCUCUUCUCCCCAUGCACAGGGCAGCCUGCCAUGCCCUGCAGCAAGAAAAACAGUUCUCACUGACACCACUGUGCAUUCCUCUGGCUCACAGUGCUACUCACACCACGGCAGGACUUGGCCCUUUACUGGACACCUCUCUCAGACAUAGAGUUUGGGUUUGCGUGGUGCUUCGUGGAGCCAGGGGUUGGACUCAAUGAUUCCUGUGGGUCCCUUCCAACUUGGGAUAUUCUUUGGUUCUAUGAUUCUGACAGCUAACAGCUGAUCGCCAGCUGAAGAUUGCUUCUUCCAAACUGCAUGUUCCUCUCUCCUGCUAGACAGGCUGUCUGGAGAGGGUGACACAGUGACCAGCAGCACUGGAUCUCUCACUUGCCCAUGGCACCUGCCCAAAUGAAUUAAUCAGCAUCACACAGCGGCUGCCUUGGGGGAGGCACCUCUGUGCGCCCUGCCAGGAUCACUGGGACUUCAGACAAAGAGGGUGUUUGGGUUACUUGUCAGUGCCAAAUCAGUUCAUGAUCCGUCUCUCAGUACCAGUAAGCAUCUGGAAGAAUUGGUUGGCAGCCAUGGGGAUGGUGUUUUCUGGCAAUGUCUGACAGCCUGGCAAGGGCAGGGAAAGCUCUGUGCAAUGAAAAGAGAAGACACAUCAGGUCGAAGGCCAAGUCUGUGCCAAGGAACAUUGUCUUUGGAGCCUGCUGUAACUACGCCUGCCUGGCCUCUUGCUGCCCAGGAGCAGGAGCCCAACAACCAACACAUCCCUACUCCAAAGGGGGGAAAGAGAUGCUCCAUUCCACCUCACUUCCCUGCACAGAAGCUCUGCAAGAAAAGCACAUAUGGAGCAAGAAAGGGGCAGGAACGUUGCAUGUUCCUAAUCUGUAUCUUUUUAUUACUGUUAUCUUAUCAGCCCCAGAGCUCACAGAUAACUGUACCCAACAGCCUGCAGCCACAACAGACCAGCUGAGUUACAGGCAAUGCUCUGCUAGUUGAGGAACCAACCCAGGAAGGAAAACACAAGACUUCUACCGAAGCCAAGGCACUCAUUGCACGCCAUCAGACAGGAGGGUGUCUAAGAAUCUCAUGAAUGGUCUGAAUCACCAUUAUUCUUUGAAGUCUACCAGUAUUCUACAGGAAUGGUUACCUUGUGUUUGAGCAACUGGGCGAGCAUCUGGAGCCCAACUUCCACCUCUGCUCUGUCCACAUCUGUUUGCCCUGUCCGUCAAAGGUAGCAGUAUUUCCUUGGCCUGCCUAGUUUUUUUUUUUGGCUGUUGAUUAGAAGCAAAUGGGAUUCUUCAGAGAAGAAACUGUUAUUGCUGAAAAACAUCUCGUUGUCAAAUAGGAUUUCUGAGAUCCAGGAUGGUGUCUUUGUUAGGGUGUGGAAGGAAUUAAUCACUCCGGAAUAACCCAGUGCUUAAGGCGUUUGCAAAAUCCGAGACACAUCAGAUUCAAGCAACAGCUGAGCCUCAUUUACAUCAGGAACUGGAAUUUGAUCUCCCACAUGCCUGGUGAACAUCCUAACCACAAGCCUAUCCUGGAAGGAACUUGUGUGAGCCCAGAAAAUAUUUCCAGAUAUCUCAGUUAUAAUAUAUAUAUAUAAAAACAAUCAUUAAUUGUUUUGGGGCUUCUUAUUUUCCCAAAACAAAACUCUUAUUUACUGUCCCAUUCCUAAAUGGAUUCUUCCUUGCCGUACAGCUCGAGGCACAGUGUUAUCCCUUCAGUCUAGCAAUGACCCAGUGCCAAGGAUGAAGAAGGAGUGUGAUGUGCUGAC